UACAGUGGGUGCAAACGUUGCUCGGAAUCAUUGGGCGUAAAGCGCACGUAGGCGGUCUGUUAUGUCGGAUGUGAAAGCCCUCGGCUCAACUGAGGAAGUGCAUCCGAAACUGGCAGGCUAGAGUACUAAAGAGGGUCGCGGAAUUCCCGGUGUAGAGGUGAAAUUCGUAGAUAUCGGGAGGAACACCGGUGGCGAAGGCGGCGACCUGGGUAGAUACUGACGCUGAGGUGCGAAAGCGUGGGGAGCAAACAGG
rnacentral:rRNA from 1 species